GACGAACCGUGCGAACGUUGUUCGGAAUCACUGGGCUUAAAGGGCGCGAUAGGCGGGCUGGUAAGUCAGGGGUGAAAGCCCACGGCCCAACCGUGGAAGUGCCUUUGAAUACUGCCAGUCUCGAGGGAGGUAGGGGCGUGCGGAACUUCCGGUGGAGCGGUGAAAUGACGUAGAUAUCGGAAGGAACACCGGUGGCGAAAGCGGCGCGGCUGGACCUCUCUGACGCUGAGGCGCGAAAGCCAGGGA
rnacentral:rRNA from 1 species